UAGCUCAGUUGGUAGAGCAGGGGAUUGAAAAUCCCCGUGUCGGCGGUUCGAUUCCGU
rnacentral:tRNA from 1 species